rnacentral:rRNA from 1 species
GACAGAGGGUGCAAACGUUGUUCGGAAUUACUGGGCGUAAAGCGUGUGUAGGCGGCUAUGUAAGUCGGAUGUGAAAGCCCCGGGCUCAACCCGGGAAGUGCACUCGAUACUGCGUAGCUUGAGUACUGGAGAGGUUGGUGGAAUUCUCGGUGUAAAGGUGAAAUUCGUAGAUAUCGAGAGGAACACCGGUGGCGAAGGCGGCCAACUGGACAGAUACUGACGCUGAGACACGAAAGCGUGGGGAGCAAACAGG